CACCAUUUUGCAUUAUCAAACCACCGCCUUAUGAUCAAAGUGAGAGAGAAGAUAAAAGCUUAAUUAAACUUAUUAUUCUUCAAAGCACCUGGACAUUGUUUCUUGGUCUUUGUUGUCUAACUCGUAUUCAAAGCAAGCUUGCAGCACAUUUUGACAAUCAUAGUUCAAAUAUAUAUGUUUUAAAUCUCUUUGUCCUUAUGUGCAGGUCUUGAACAUUCCUCCACCUCCAAGUUUAACGUGGCUAGUUGAAAGAGAAUAGAAAAGCCAAAAGACUCUCAUCAUUGAUCUUCUUGCCGGUUACUUCAAUUUUGGGGAAAAUCAAAACAUGCAUGAGACCAAUUGUAGACUUGCAGAUGCUUUAGUUUCUUUGCUUCGAUUAUAAUGUUGCCUUGCAGACACCAUACAAGUCGUGAUUGGUUAAGCUGUGGCCUUAAUGAUUAAGUCUUGUAGAUAAGGGGAGCUUGCACUGGAAGGAGCUCAUUAUUUGACAACAGCGGAGCUCGUGAGUCUCACUGAGCAGCAGCUUGUGGACUGUGAUCAUGAGAAAGUGAGAGGCUUGUCUUGUUAAGCUUUCAUGAACAAGAGCUAAAGCUGCUAGUAUAUGCUUUUGCCUUUGAAAUAUAGGUUUGGAUCUUUUCCUUCAAGUCUAAGAAUAAUGAACUACCAAGAGAGUUUUGUCCUGUAAACCAUAUGUAAACCACGUUUGCUGCAAUAUAAGUUUCUUCUGUUCCAAAAUCCUUGCUAUGUUCUUUUAUUUCCUUCAUUAUUUUGUUGAUUGUUUGACUAGUUUUGAAUAAGAAUCCUCUUUGUAGAAUGAAAGAAUAUGUACCUCCAAUAGGUCAUAUCGUAAUAAACAGACAAUCGUAACAAAAAGAAUAUUUCCUCGCUAUAGACUAAAAUUUAAUAACGAAAAAGAUAAUUUUCUCUCUAUA